rnacentral:rRNA from 1 species
AACCGGAUUAGAUACCCUGGUAGUCCACGCCGUAAACGAUGUCGACUUGGAGGUUGUGCCCUUGAGGCGUGGCUUCCGGAGCUAACGCGUUAAGUCGACCGCCUGGGGAGUACGGCCGCAAGGUUAAAACUCAAAUGAAUUGACGGGGGCCCGCACAAGCGGUGGAGCAUGUGGUUUAAUUCGAUGCAACGCGAAGAACCUUACCUACUCUUGACAUCCAGAGAACUUUCCAGAGAUGGAUUGGUGCCUUCGGGAACUCUGAGACAGGUGCUGCAUGGCUGUCGUCAGCUCGUGUUGUGAAAUGUUGGGUUAAGUCCCGCAACGAGCGCAACCCUUAUCCUUUGUUGCCAGCGGUCCGGCCGGGAACUCAAAGGAGACUGCCAGUGAUAAACUGGAGGAAGGUGGGGAUGACGUCAAGUCAUCAUGGCCCUUACGAGUAGGGCUACACACGUGCUACAAUGGCGCAUACAAAGAGAAGCGACCUCGCGAGAGCAAGCGGA